rnacentral:lncRNA from 1 species
AUGAAAGUUUCAAAAUGGAAGUUAGGAAUUCUUUGUUUUAUAAGUGGAUGUGUAAUGUCUGGUCAGGUGGAUGCUUGUAUUCCUGAUAGAGUUCCAAUGGGACUCUUAAUCACAGAUUGCCCUUAUCCACAACUGAAAACUCUUGAGAUGCAGAGGACUCUUGCCCUAAAAAUCAUUCUUUCCUUUUCUUUUUUUCUACCCACAGAAGCCCCAAGACAGCAACCUGCUGAACCUGAACCAGCCCCAAGGCAACAAACUAGGAAAAGUAAAGACGCAGAAGAGCCAGGCGACCCACCUGAAGGAGAACCAGGCGAACCACCUGAAGGAGAACCAGGUCCACCACCUGAAGGAGAACCAGGCGAACCACCUGAAGGUAAGUAAUAUCUAUCUCUAAACACUCCUUUCUUUCCCCAUUCCUUGAGGACCCUAGACCUUGCCUCUCAUUUGAAACCAUUUGGCACAUCCACUCUUAAAGUUCAGUACCAAGAGAGAGGGUAAUAAUGAACUAAGAGCAUGGUCAGCUUAAAAGGUUUUGUUUUCUCUUGCCAUUGCAUAGCUCUCAUAUUUCCACCAGAGAAUUUCCCAUAUCAAAAAUCCAAAAUGAUUUUGUCAUCUUUCCCAAAGCAUAGUUUGCUUUUUUCCAUUGCCUAAUAUCCUAGAUCAAACAUUUCAAGAUCACUUUGUAAUACUUAAUAAUGUGCUCUUCCUGUCUCUGCAGCGUGGGUAUUUCUCUCUC